UCAACCUCCUCCUCCUACUGGGCCCUAGCCGCCGCAGCUCUAAACUAAAUCAAAGCCUCUUUUUUUCGGUCCUGCAAGUCGCCGCCGUCCGACCUGCGCCAGAGCGUCGACGAUGAUCUAUGCCGCCGGUCGUGCGUCUGGGUUAAUUUCUCAAGUAUGUUGAGAAAACAGGACACAGAGCUGUAUACACAAGGGUGCUAAUCUUGAAGAUGGGGUAGCAGCUGAUGAGGAGGAUGAUCCAUUAACUGUUGCUAGACAAGCUGACCCAGAUAUCCUUUCUCAAGAUAUGCCGAAGAAGUAUAUUACAUAUGCUAAGCUGAAUGUAUUUCCCAAAAUACAUGAUGCUGACCUGGACAAGAUUAGCCAUGUGUAUGAUGAACUUCGACGUGAAUCAUCUCAUGGUCAAGGAGUCCCUAUUGUUGUAAGGCAUAUCGAAUCUAUCAUUCGAAUGUCUGAGGCACAUGCAAAGAUGCAUUUGAGAAGUUACGUUUCUCAGGAAGAUGUUGACAUGGCCAUCCGUGUGCUACUUGACUCAUUUAUUUCAACCCAGAAAUUUGGUGUCCAGAAAGCACUUCAAAAAUUAAAUUUAAAGUGUUGAGCUUGAACUAUUAUAUUGUUUGCCAACCUAACUGAGGUUACCCAAUGGAGUUCUGUUAAUGGAGAUGACAAUCAUUGCAUUGCCUUGGAAGCCUCGAUACUCAUGGUCCUAUGUUCCAAGUAAAAACAUCUGUAGCUUUUUGUCGUAAAUUUUUAACGAACUUCUGUUGUCUGUGCAGAAUUUCCGCAAAUACAUGACUUACAAGAAGGAUUACAAUGAGCUGCUUCUGCUGCUUCUGCUCCUCCUGCGCACACCGGUGAAGGAGGCCUUGCACUUUGAGGAAAUCGUGUCGUUAUCAACCACACGCUUGACUAACAUUGAGGUUAAAGUGGAUGACCUGAAGAACAAGGUGAUAGGAACACCUUUGCUCAUGAUUCUUCCUCUAGAAACGGUGCCACCUUCACAUCAGUUCCAUUUCCUCACCUUUGUUUCUCCUGCGCACACUGGUGAAUGAGGCCUUGCACUUUGAGGAAAUCAUGUCGGGAUCAACCACACGCUUACUCACAUUGAGGUUAAAUCGGAUGACCUGAAGAACAAGGUGAUAGGAACAGCUUUGCUCAUGAUUCUUCCUCUAGAAACGGUGCCAUCUUCGCAUCAGUUCCAUUUCGUCACCUCUGUUUUUCCUGCUGAAUACAAGCCCAGGAGUAUGAAAUAUAUGACUUGAAGUCGUUCUUCUCCGGCGCUCACUUCAGCAACAACAGCUUUGUCCUAGACGACGGGCGUGACAUCACCAGGCAUCCUAUUGCAGCUUAAUAACUAUCUAGGCCUCUGCCGAUGAUGAACACAUACCUCUUUCUGGAUUAAGAGCGAGGGAUGAGUACCUAGCGACGUCCACUUGCAGCGCAGGCGAUAAAUGAUAGGUGCUGCACGCUAGACUGGAAUUCUGACAUUUGUGUACUGUUUCUGUUAUUUGAAUUACAUUCAGAGAGUUAUGUACCCUCUUGACAUGGUACAAUUGUGAAGCGUUGACGCCCAUGUCCUCAGGCCAUGCCGAGAGAUGUACGCUUUUGCGGUAUAUAUAGUGGAGCUUGAUUUGGAAAA